rnacentral:rRNA from 1 species
AAGGAUCAUUACCGAGUGCGGGUCCUUUGGGCCCAACCUCCCAUCCGUGUCUAUUGUACCCUGUUGCUUCGGCGGGCCCGCCGCUUGUCGGCCGCCGGGGGGGCGCCUCUGCCCCCCGGGCCCGUGCCCGCCGGAGACCCCAACACGAACACUGUCUGAAAGCGUGCAGUCUGAGUUGAUUGAAUGCAAUCAGUUAAAACUUUCAACAAUGGAUCUCUUGGUUCCGGCAUCGAUGAAGAACGCAGCGAAAUGCGAUAACUAAUGUGAAUUGCAGAAUUCAGUGAAUCAUCGAGUCUUUGAACGCACAUUGCGCCCCCUGGUAUUCCGGGGGGCAUGCCUGUCCGAGCGUCAUUGCUGCCCUCAAGCCCGGCUUGUGUGUUGGGUCGCCGUCCCCCUCUCCGGGGGGACGGGCCCGAAAGGCAGCGGCGGCACCGCGUCCGAUCCUCGAGCGUAUGGGGCUUUGUCACAUGCUCUGUAGGAUUGGCCGGCGCCUGCCGACGUUUUCCAACCAUUCUUUCCAGGUUGACCUCGGAUCAGGUAGGGAU